rnacentral:rRNA from 1 species
UACGGAGGGUGCAAGCGUUAUCCGGAAUCACUGGGUUUAAAGGGUGCGUAGGCGGCCUAAUAAGUCAGAGGUGAAAAGUCACAGCUUAACUGUGAAGGUGCCUUUGAUACUGUUUGGCUUGAAUAAGGUUGAGGUUGGCGGAAUGUGACAUGUAGCGGUGAAAUGCAUAGAUAUGUCAUAGAACACCAAUUGCGAAGGCAGCCAACUAGGCCUUCAUUGACGCUGAGGCACGAAAGCGUGGGUAGCGAACAGG